AUGGCACUUUCAAGCUUGUACCCUGACUGUGGGUCAGCCCUCCUGCCCACCCACUCUGGUCCACAGGCAUACAGGCUGUACAACUCCUCCCUGCCAGGGGAUACCUGUCCAGACCUCCAGCUGCUUUUUGCCAUGAAAAGAAGGGAUGUCCCCAGGAUUGAGCUGGCUAGUGAGGAUGGGGUCUCCAUCUUCUGUGACGUGCCCACCGGCCUCUGCAGCCUGACUUUGUGCCUCUGGCACCACGGCAUAUCCGCUGGCCUUCUGGACACCAUGGACAAUGAAGCAGGCACUGAUCUGACGUUGCCGGACGGCUCUGUGGCCCACAGCCUGGAGGAGCUCAGCCUGACCUGGAGGGUGAGCAGGCGCACCUGCCCUUCUUCCCUCUGGCUGAGUCUCUUGAGGGCUGCUCACUGCAGAGUCCCAGGAGAGGCAGGUGGCCUGCCGGCUCUGCAGAGGUCUUCACAAACCCAGGGUUGGAGGGAGUCUCCUGCUGAGGCCAAUGUACAUGGGGGAGCAACAUGGUCCAGCGGGAGGUCUGAGCCUUGCAUCUGUUUCACCAGGUGGAUGGUGACUGCAGGGCCACCGAGAAGACUCAGCCAACCUGUUCAGGACAGAGCCCCGCCUGCUGGGCCUUCUUUUAGAAUCCCUCAUUCAGCUUGGGGAACUGCUUCUGGGUGGGGCCCCUGA
rnacentral:lncRNA from 13 species